ACUUCAUGAUUUGGGUAUUGAGCUAGCUUACCAUUAAACCUCUUCCAAGAUUCACAACAACGGUUCUCAAUUCAUUUGUCAAAAAUUCAAAAUAUCAUCCUGCUUUU
rnacentral:snoRNA from 1 species